GCCGAGCCGGCAGAGCAAUAGGCCAGGGGAAGUGGUUCACCUAGAGUGAAUUUAUGUCAGAGAAAAAGUAGAUUUUGUAUAAGAAUUCACAGAAAAAUUAAUGACAAGUUCAUCCACUUCCCCUGGCCUAUGACAGUUAGUUUGCUUGAAACUUCGCUUCGGAAGUCCAACCGGCAAAUUCCAGAUUCGUGCUGCGAAGUCAAUAAUCCUGAUAUCAAGUGAAGCGAGGUUGGAGUGAAAAUGACCAAGUCCUGGUUUUGAUCGAACAACCGCAAGAAUAAAAUAUAAACAUCUAACUGGGAAGGCUACUGGCUCGGUCAAACUACAUCCUCUAUGACUGUCAUCAAUCCCACAUCAAUGAUUUAUAGCAUCCGGGGAUCCAUUCCUGAGCAGCGAAAAAUUCAACACGGAUAUUAUAUUUUUACUUGUUAUCAUGUAUAAUUCAUAUAGUUAUCUAAGAGAUCAUGAAUAAAUGUUAUGCUCUUUGUAUA